rnacentral:rRNA from 1 species
GUGAGGAAUAUUGCGCAAUGGAGGCAACUCUGACGCAGCCAUGCCGCGUGCAGGAAGAAGGCGCUACGCGUUGUAAACUGCUUUUAACCGGGAAGAAACCCCAGGACGUGUCCUGGGUUGACGGUACCGGAGGAAUAAGCACCGGCUAACUUCGUGCCAGCAGCCGCGGUAAUACGAAGGGUGCAAGCGUUAUCCGGAUUCAUUCGGUUUAAAGGGUGCGUAGGCGGAGCGUUAAGUCAGUGGUGAAAUCCUGCAGCUUAACUGUAGACUUGCCAUUGAUACUGGCGCUCUUGAGUGCGCUUGAAGUGGGCGGAAUGUGCCGUGUAGCGGUGAAAUGCUUAGAUAUGGCACAGAACACCAAUUGCGAAGGCAGCUCACUAAGGCGAUACUGACGCUGAGGCACGAAAGCGUGGGGAUCGAACAGGAUUAGAUACCCGUGUAGUCC